rnacentral:rRNA from 1 species
UACAGAGGGUGCGAGCGUUAAUCGGAAUUACUGGGCGUAAAGCGUGCGUAGACGGUUAUUUAAGUCGGAUGUGAAAGCCCUCGGCUCAACCAAGGAAGUGCAUCCGAAACUGCUGAGCUUGAGUACUUAAGAGGAUCGCGGAAUUCCCGGUGUAGAGGUGAAAUUCGUAGAUAUCGGGAGGAACACCAGUGGCGAAGGCGGCGAUCUGGGAAGAUACUGACGCUGAGGUGCGAAAGCGUGGGGAGCAAACAGG